rnacentral:rRNA from 1 species
CCUACGGGGGGCUGCAGUAAGGAAUAUUGGUCAAUGGACGAAAGUCUGAACCAGCCAUCCCGCGUGCAGGAUGAAAGCCCUAUGGGUUGUAAACUGCUUUUAGCAGAGAAGAAAAGCUUUCAUUAAUGAGAGUCUGACGGUAUCUGCAGAAUAAGCACCGGCUCACUCCGUGCCAGCAGCCGCGGUAAUACGGAGGGUGCCGGCGUUAUCCGGAAUUACGGGGUUGAAGGGGUACGUAUAAGUCAGUGGUGAAAUCUGGUCGCUUAACGAUAAAAUUGCCAAUGAUACUGGUACUCUUGAGUGGGGUUGAGGUUAGCGGAAUGUGACAUGUAGCGGUGAAAUGCAUAGAGAUGUCAUGGAACACCAAUUGCGAAGGCAGCUAACUGGGCCUUGAUUGACGCUGAGGCACGAAAGCGUGGGGAGCGAACAGGAUUAGAUACCCCGGUAGUC